AUGGUGGCUGACGCGCUUGUCACCAUCUUGGAUAGGGCUAAGGCGGCUGGCCAUAUUCGCAGGAUAACACCCCAUCUGGCCGACGGUUCUGGGAUUUCCCUUCUCCAGUACGCCGACGACACCAUCAUCAUGGUCGAAGGCUCGGAGACGAACAUCUCUAAUCUCAAGUUCCUUCUCCUCUGCUUCCAACAAAUCUCUGGCCUUAAGAUCAACUUCGACAAGAGUGAUGUGAUGGUGAUGGGCUACUCCCCGGCCGAGUGCCAGGACAUAGCCAACCGGCUCAACUGCCGCUUGGGUUCCUUCCCCACGACUUACUUGGGAACGCCCAUUAGUGACUCCCGGCUUACCAUUGCAGACUUGCGUCCGACCAUGGCCAAGCUGCAAACGCGCAUUGAACCUUGGCAGGGUAGGUGGUUGUCUAAGGCGGCUCGGACGAUUCUCAUCAACUCCUCCCUAUCCAGUCUCCUCUUAUUCCUCAUGUGCUUCUACAACCUUCACGAGACUCUGCACCACAAGAUCGCCAAGGUCCAGUCUCGUUUCUAUUGGGCUGGCGACAAUAAUAAGCAGAAAUACCACAUGGUCAGCUGGCCUGACAUUUGCAAGCCCCGGGAACAAGGAGGCCUCGGUAUUAUGUGCUCUAAGCGCAUGAAUAUCGCCCUCUUAUCCCAUUGGCUCUGGCGCAUCUCGCAAGGCCAUGGUGGCCUCUGGCUCGACAUCAUCUAG
rnacentral:rRNA from 1 species